rnacentral:rRNA from 1 species
UACAUGUGGGGCAAGCGUUGUUCGGAAUUACUGGGCAUAAAGGGUGCGUAGGCGGCUUGUUAAGUCAGGGGUGAAAGUUUUCGGCCCAACCGGAAAAUUGCCUUUGAUACUGGCGAGCUGGAGUGCGUGAGGGGUGACCGGAACGAGUGGUGUAGCGGUGAAAUGCGUAGAUAUCAGGAAGAACACCCGUGGCGAAGGCGGCUCUCUGGGACGGUACUGACGCUGAGACGCGAAAGCGUGGGGAGCGAACAGG